rnacentral:rRNA from 1 species
GAAUCUGGCUUCGGGUUCGGGACAACAGUGGGAAACUGCUGCUAAUACCGGAUGUGCCUAAAGGUAAAAGAUUAAUUGCCCGAAGAUGAGCUCGCGUCCGAUUAGCUAGUUGGUGUGGUAAGAGCGCACCAAGGCGUCGAUCGGUAGCUGGUCUGAGAGGACGAUCAGCCACACUGGGACUGAGACACGGCCCAGACUCCUACGGGAGGCAGCAGUGGGGAAUUUUCCGCAAUGGGCGAAAGCCUGACGGAGCAAGACCGCGUGAGGGAAGAAGGCUCUUGGGUCGUAAACCUCUUUUGUCAGGGAAGAACACAAUGACGGUACCUGACGAAUCAGCCUCGGCUAACUCCGUGCCAGCAGCCGCGGUAAUACGGAGGAGGCAAGCGUUAUCCGGAAUUAUUGGGCGUAAAGCGUCCGUAGGUGGCUAGUCAAGUCUGCUGUCAAAGACCGGGGCUUAACUUCGGAAAGGCAGUGGAAACUGAACAGCUAGAGUAUGGUAGGGGCAGAGGGAAUUCCUGGUGUAGCGGUGAAAUGCGUAGAGAUUGGGAAGAACACCGGUGGCGAAAGCGCUCUGCUGGACCACAACUGACACUCACAGGACGAAAGCUAGGGGAGCG